rnacentral:rRNA from 1 species
AUCUUAGCGGCGGACGGGUGAGUAAUGCUUAGGAAUCUGCCUAUUAGUGGGGGACAACAUUUCGAAAGGAAUGCUAAUACCGCAUACGUCCUACGGGAGAAAGCAGGGGAUCUUCGGACCUUGCGCUAAUAGAUGAGCCUAAGUCGGAUUAGCUAGUUGGUGGGGUAAAGGCCUACCAAGGCGACGAUCUGUAGCGGGUCUGAGAGGAUGAUCCGCCACACUGGGACUGAGACACGGCCCAGACUCCUACGGGAGGCAGCAGUGGGGAAUAUUGGACAAUGGGCGCAAGCCUGAUCCAGCCAUGCCGCGUGUGUGAAGAAGGCCUUAUGGUUGUAAAGCACUUUAAGCGAGGAGGAGGCUACUUUAGUUAAUACCUAGAGAUAGUGGACGUUACUCGCAGAAUAAGCACCGGCUAACUCUGUGCCAGCAGCCGCGGUAAUACAGAGGGUGCAAGCGUUAAUCGGAUUUACUGGGCGUAAAGCGCGCGUAGGCGGCUAAUUAAGUCAAAUGUGAAAUCCCCGAGCUUAACUUGGGAAUUGCAUUCGAUACUGGUUAGCUAGAGUGUGGGAGAGGAUGGUAGAAUUCCAGGUGUAGCGGUGAAAUGCGUAGAGAUCUGGAGGAAUACCGAUGGCGAAGGCAGCCAUCUGGCCUAACACUGACGCUGAGGUGCGAAAGCAUGGGGAGCAAACAGGAUUAGAUACCCUGGUAGUCCAUGCCGUAAACGAUGUCUACUAGCCGUUGGGGCCUUU